rnacentral:RNase_P_RNA from 1 species
CUUAGGUAAACGCUGCAUAUUAUUAUGUAGAGGAAAGUCCAUACUCACAUAUUGCUGAGAUGCAUAUAGUGAUCGUGCUAGAGGAAAAAAUAACUCUAGGUAACCUUAGGUUAACGGCUCCGAAAGAAGAAAGACCUUCUUCGAAUAGGUAUAAAAGUGCUAUAGUGACGAUGCUUUCUAGGAAUAGAAAGAGUGAGACGCGCGUAAACCCCGCGAGUGAGAAACCCAAAUUUGGUAGGGGAGUCCUUGCAAAUGAAGUGAAAGGAGCAAGGGAGCUUUAAAGCUAGAUAAAUGUUUGCCACUUCCUAAUGGAAGUACAGAAAAUGGCUUAUUA